rnacentral:misc_RNA from 1 species
ACCUGUCAAGGAUUGAAACGGCAUCCUUUUCAGGGAAAAGAUAUAGCGGAAAGCCUGGCCGGAG